AAACAAGAUAAUUUUUCUUCCUUCAUGUACAGUAAUACCAAAAGGUUAUGCUCCCUGUGUGCUCUGAGGAUUUUUUUCAUUCUUAUUUUAUUCCUUAGUACUGUCUGGUUCUGGAGAGAGAAGGACUGUGGAGGAAGUUGAAAGUGUCCCAGGAAGAAUCAGCUUGGUUCUUCUUAUGUACAUGUGUAGCUGUUAGAAGUGGUGAGGGUCAUUUUAAGCCAUUUAUUCUUUUUGGAAGACAAUGUUUGGGAUACUUGGAAGACAGAUCUGAGACUUGCAGACUUCUCUAGGAUGAUAUAGAAGCCUUGAGGUACUUCAUUUGUGCUCAUCGGAGAGAAACAGGAGGAUAAAUUCCAAAAAAAGGAAGCAAAUGGAAGAAAGGUCUCCCUGUGGCUCCUAGAUCACAAACUACUGAAAGAUACACAGGUUUUGUUCUUUUUCCCCAUACCUGCAUUACUAAGAGAGCAAUGCGUAAUAAUACAAAUUGUUUGGAAAGCAAAAGUGCCAAAGUAUUCAAUAGUUAUUGUGCAAGAAAUCAAGGAAACUAGCACUGAACUACUAUCAAAGAUCAUCCCUGUGAACUCAUGGAGAGGGAAA
rnacentral:lncRNA from 1 species